rnacentral:lncRNA from 1 species
AAUAAAUAUUAAAAUAAUAAUAGUAACAUACAAUAUUUGGAUGGCGGAAAAUCAAGCGACGCUACAAGGGCGUGUCACCCCAGCCAAAGGCCAAUUUUCCCGCCACAUGGAAGCACAGUUGUACGACAAGUAUCCUUCAUCCUGCGCUAAACAAGUAUUUAUUCUUUGUGAAAUUACAUUUUAGCCCUCCAGUGAAGUAAACCUAUUUAGCAAGUUUCUUUUCCCAAAAUAUAUAUAUUUCAAUCUUCCAAUCACUAUUUAUUUCUAAAUAAACAUAUUGUUUCUCAAUUUCUUAAAAAAAAAAAAAGUAUUUCCUAAAAGAUAAAUAAUAAUAAAAUAAACACCAAUCAAGAAAAAUAAAAAAAUUCCACAGCAGUACAAAAAUCGGUGCGCUUUUCCAAUCAGUUUGUUAAAACCUGAAGAAAUCUUAUAAAAGAAAAAGUACUGUCAUCAUAUGUCAAAACAAACACCCAUGAAGUAAUAAUAAUCCAUGUCUAUAAAUUUAAGAUUAUAAAUAAAAAAAAUAAUUGCAGGCAGAAAAAAGAAGGAAAAAAAAACUUUCUUUUUUUAUAGAGGAUGGACGAUGGCAAUCAUGAUGGGGUGUUUUUCUCACCAGAAGAUCAAGAUUGUGAUGAAAAUUGGACGGCCCAGAUUCAAACUGAUAAUCAGCAGCAAAGUUUUCCAAGCAUUUCAAUGGAAGAGGCAGCUGCUUGUUAUUCCGAUUUUAUGCUAAGUGAUAAUCUCUCGACUUUCGGGGUUAUUAGUCCCCCAGUAGGAUCGAUUCCCCGUUUGAAGGAGAUUACCUCGGCUAAUAAGGGGCAAUCGAGUGGCGCCAAAAGGAAGCAUACAGCUCGUGCAGAUUUA